AUUUAUUUAAUAUAUAUAAAGUAUAAUUGACUUCCAAUCAAUCAGAUUGAUUUUUCAUCAAAAUAAAUA
rnacentral:tRNA from 1 species